GAUGAACGCUGGCGGCGUGCCUAAUACAUGCAAGUCGAGCGAACGGACGAGAAGCUUGCUUCUCUGAUGUUAGCGGCGGACGGGUGAGUAACACGUGGAUAACCUACCUAUAAGACUGGGAUAACUUCGGGAAACCGGAGCUAAUACCGGAUGAUAUUUUGAACCGCAUGGUUCAAAAGUGAAAGACGGUCUUGCUGUCACUUAUAGAUGGAUCCGCGCUGCAUUAGCUAGUUGGUAAGGUAACGGCUUACCAAGGCAACGAUGCAUAGCCGACCUGAGAGGGGGAUAGCCCACACUAGAGCGUAAACACGGUCCAGGCGACUAAGGUAGGGAGCAGUAGGGAAUCGUCCGCAAUGGGCGAAAGCCUGACGGAGCAGCGCCGCGUGAGUUGUGAAGGUCUUGGGAUCGUAAAACUCUGUUAUUAGGGAAGAACAUAUGUGUAAGUAACUGUGCACAGCUUGACGGUACCUAAUCAGAAAGCCACGGCUAACUACGUG
rnacentral:rRNA from 1 species